GCCAGACUCCUACGGGAGGCAGCAGUGGGGAAUAUUGCGCAAUGGGGGAAACCCUGACGCAGCAACGCCGCGUGAAGGAUGACGGCCUUCGGGUUGUAAACUUCUGUCGCAGAGGAAGAAGAAAGUGACGGUACUCUGUGAGAAAGCCACGGCUAACUACGUGCCAGCAGCCGCGGUAAUACGUAGGUGGCGAGCGUUGUCCGGAUUUACUGGGUGUAAAGGGCGCGUAGGCGGAUUUGCAAGUCAGAUGUGAAAUCCCGGGGCUUAACUCCGGAACUGCAUUUGAAACUGUAGACCUUGAGUGCCGGAGAGGAAGGCGGAAUUCCUAGUGUAGCGGUGAAAUGCGUAGAUAUUAGGAGGAACACCAGUGGCGAAGGCGACUUUCUGGACUGUACCUGACGCUGAGGCGCGAAAGCGUGGGUAGCGAACGGGAUUAGAUACCCCGGUA
rnacentral:rRNA from 1 species